rnacentral:rRNA from 1 species
GGCGUGCCUAAUACAUGCAAGUCGAGCGAACGGACGAGAAGCUUGCUUCUCUGAUGUUAGCGGCGGACGGGUGAGUAACACGUGGAUAACCUACCUAUAAGACUGGGAUAACUUCGGGAAACCGGAGCUAAUACCGGAUAAUAUUUUGAACCGCAUGGUUCAAAAGUGAAAGACGGUCUUGCUGUCACUUAUAGAUGGAUCCGCGCUGCAUUAGCUAGUUGGUAAGGUAACGGCUUACCAAGGCAACGAUGCAUAGCCGACCUGAGAGGGUGAUCGGCCACACUGGAACUGAGACACGGUCCAGACUCCUACGGGAGGCAGCAGUAGGGAAUCUUCCGCAAUGGGCGAAAGCCUGACGGAGCAACGCCGCGUGAGUGAUGAAGGUCUUCGGAUCGUAAAACUCUGUUAUUAGGGAAGAACAUAUGUGUAAGUAACUGUGCACAUCUUGACGGUACCUAAUCAGAAAGCCACGGCUAACUACGUGCCAGCAGCCGCGGUAAUACGUAGGUGGCAAGCGUUAUCCGGAAUUAUUGGGCGUAAAGCGCGCGUAGGCGGUUUUUUAAGUCUGAUGUGAAAGCCCACGGCUCAACCGUGGAGGGUCAUUGGAAACUGGAAAACUUGAGUGCAGAAGAGGAAAGUGGAAUUCCAUGUGUAGCGGUGAAAUGCGCAGAGAUAUGGAGGAACACCAGUGGCGAAGGCGACUUUCUGGUCUGUAACUGACGCUGAUGUGCGAAAGCGUGGGGAUCAAACAGGAUUAGAUACCCUGGUAGUCCACGCCGUAAACGAUGAGUGCUAAGUGUUAGGGGGUUUCCGCCCCUUAGUGCUGCAGCUAACGCAUUAAGCACUCCGCCUGGGGAGUACGACCGCAAGGUUGAAACUCAAAGGAAUUGACGGGGACCCGCACAAGCGGUGGAGCAUGUGGUUUAAUUCGAAGCAACGCGAAGAACCUUACCAAAUCUUGACAUCCUUUGACAACUCUAGAGAUAGAGCUUUCCCCUUCGGGGGACAAAGUGACAGGUGGUGCAUGGUUGUCGUCAGCUCGUGUCGUGAGAUGUUGGGUUAAGUCCCGCAACGAGCGCAACCCUUAAGCUUAGUUGCCAUCAUUAAGUUGGGCACUCUAAGUUGACUGCCGGUGACAAACCGGAGGAAGGUGGGGAUGACGUCAAAUCAUCAUGCCCCUUAUGAUUUGGGCUACACACGUGCUACAAUGGACAAUACAAAGGGCAGCGAAACCGCGAGGUCAAGCAAAUCCCAUAAAGUUGUUCUCAGUUCGGAUUGUAGUCUGCAACUCGACUACAUGAAGCUGGAAUCGCUAGUAAUCGUAGAUCAGCAUGCUACGGUGAAUACGUUCCCGGGUCUUGUACACACCGCCCGUCACACCACGAGAGUUUGUAACACCCGAAGCCGGUGGAGUAACCUUUUAGGAGCUAGCCGUCGAAG